CAAACCAAAAUAGCAUGAAAAUGCUCCCAUUAGUGUAAAAAACAAACAAAAAACAGCUUCUUCACCAUGCCCCCUCCUGUUUUCUGGUGCCAUGGACAUAACGAUGAAUCAUGAAACAAACUAAACCGCUUGAUCAUUGCCCAUAUUAUAUGCUUCGUGAUUCGCCCAUACAGCGUUUCAUAGUUGUGGGAUUUCAGACGAAUUGCGAUUCAAUUGAAACCGAAUGCAAAGGUCUUAGAAACUUCCUUAUUAUAAAGCUGAUGGCAGAGAGAAUUAGAUUUGCAUGCUGUGAGGCACACAUUUUUAUUAAACCACUUAAACACAGUUUGACAAAAACAAAGCAACUUCAUACCUCAUUUCCAAGCUACUACAAUAAACUGCAGUGGUUAUGGUGCUUUGAGUGUCCAUUUAAUGUCACAUACCAAUAUAUGUGCAAAAUUUAAAAAUGUAAUGAAGUUGAGCCAUCACACAUGAGAUAAGGGUGCUCUUAAUUCCAGCACACAGAAUGAUGGCUAUAACAUGCACUAUCCUAGGCAAAAUAAUGGAGAUAUAGUAACAGGAUAUAAUUAUACAUUGCAUAAGCCUGCAUACAUUAUAAGGC